rnacentral:rRNA from 1 species
AAUAUGGGUCAAUGGAGGCAACUCUGAACCAGCCAUGCCGCGUGCAGGAUGACGGNCCNNUGGAUNGNAAACUGCUUUUGUUCNNNNNGAAAAAGAGCUACGAGUAGCUUAUUGACGGUACUGUAAGAAUAAGGAUCGGCUAACUACGUGCCAGCAGCCGCGGUAAUACGGAGGAUCCAAGCGUUAUCCGGAAUCAUUGGGUUUAAAGGGUCCGUGGGCGGUCUUAUAAGUCAGCGGUGAAAGUUUUUGGCUUAACCAAAAAAUUGACGUUGAUACUGUAGGGCUUAAAUUUUUGUGAAGUAACUAAAAUAUGUAGUGUAGCGGUGAAAUGCUUAGAUAUUACAUGGAAUACCGAUGGCGAAGGCAGCCCCCUGGGAUAAUACUGACGCUCAGACACAAAAGCGUGGGGAGCAAA